rnacentral:rRNA from 1 species
UACGUAGGGUGCAAGCGUUAAUCGGAAUUACUGGGCGUAAAGCGUGCGCAGGCGGUUAUGUAAGACAGGUGUGAAAUCCCAGGGCUUAACCUUGGAACUGCAUUUGUGACUGCAUAGCUAGAGUACGGUAGAGGGGGAUGGAAUUCCGCGUGUAGCAGUGAAAUGCGUAGAUAUGCGGAGGAACACCAAUGGCGAAGGCAAUCCCCUGGACCUGUACUGACGCUCAUGCACGAAAGCGUGGGGAGCAAACAGG